rnacentral:tRNA from 1 species
GAGGGUAUAGCUCAGUGGUAGAGCACAUGCUUAGCAUGCACAAGGUCCCGGGUCCGAGCCCUAGUACCGCCA